AUGGCGCCGGCUUCGUCCUUCCCGAUCAUCGACAUGGGGCUGCUGGCCGGGGAGGAGAGGCCCGUGGCGAUGGACCUGCUGCAUGACGCAUGCGUGAACUGGGGAUUCUUCCAGGUUCUGGACCACGGCAUCUCAACGGAGCUGAUGGACGAGGUGGAGAAGAUGACCAAGGAGCACUACAAGAGGGUGCGCGAGCAGAGGUUCCUCGAGUUCGCCAGCAAGACGCUGGAGGGCGGCGGCAGGGCGGCGGAGAACCUGGACUGGGAGAGCACCUUCUUCGUGCGCCACCUCCCGGAGGCCAACAUCGCCGAGAUACCCGACCUCGACGACGACUACAGGCGGGUGAUGAAGCAGUUCGCGGCGGAGCUGGAGAGGCUGGCGGAGCGGCUGCUGGACCUGCUCUGCGAGAACCUCGGCCUGGAGAAGGGGUACCUCACGCGGGCGUUCCGGGGCUCCAAGGGCGUCCCCACCUUCGGCACCAAGGUCAGCAGCUACCCGCCGUGCCCGCGCCCGGACCUCGUCAAGGGCCUCCGCGCGCACACCGACGCCGGCGGCAUCAUCCUGCUCUUCCAGGACGACUGCGUCGGCGGGCUCCAGCUCCUCAAGGACGGCGAGUGGGUGGACGUGCCGCCCACGCGCCACUCCAUCGUCGUCAACCUGGGCGACCAGCUGGAGGUGAUCACCAACGGCAGGUACAAGAGCGUGCUCCACCGCGUGGUCGCGCAGGCCGACGGCAACCGGAUGUCCAUCGCCUCCUUCUACAACCCGGCCAGCGACGCGGUCAUCUUCCCGGCGCCGGCGCUGGCGGAGGCGGCCGGCGGUGCGUACCCCAGGUUCGUGUUCGAGGACUACAUGAAGCUGUACGUGCGCCACAAGUUCGAUGACAAGGAGCCCAGGUUCGAGGCCUUCAAGUCCAUGGAGAGCCAGAGCACCAAGCUCAUCGCCACCGCUUGA
rnacentral:rRNA from 1 species